GUCCACACCAUGACACAUUGCUUGCAGCACUGUUAUCGUGCGGUUGGGGACAAGAUUGAAAAAUCCACGAAAGGAUAGAACAGAAUUCAUCUGGAGCUGAACAUAUGGUGACAUUCCACGUCCCAACAGCCAGGGGCUGUGAGCAUGGACCGGGCCGCCGGGC